CACGUAGUUAGCCGGUGCUUUUUCUGCAGGUACCGUCACUUUCGCUUCUUCCCUGCUAAAAGAGGUUUACAACCCGAAGGCCGUCGUCCCUCACGCGGCGUUGCUGCAUCAGGCUUUCGCCCAUUGUGCAAUAUUCCCCACUGCUGCCUCCCGUAGGAGUCUGGGCCGUGUCUCAGUCCCAGUGCGGCCGGUCACCCUCUCAGGCCGGCUACCCGUCGUCGCUUUGGUGAGCCGUUACCUCACCAACAAGCUGAUAGGCCGCGAGUCCAUCCUUGACCAAAAUUCCUUCCAGCAACUCACCAUGCGGUGGAAGCUCGUAUCCGGUAUUAGACGUCGUUUCCAACGCUUAUCCCAGAGUCAAGGGCAGGUUACUCACGUGUUACUCACCCGUUCGCCACUAAUCCACCCAGCCAAGCCUGGGCUUCAUCGUUCGACUUGCAUGUGUUAAGCACGCCGCCAGCGUUCGUCCUGAGCCAGGAUCAAACUCU
rnacentral:rRNA from 1 species